UGCCAGCCGCCGCGGUAAUACGGAGGGUGCAAGCGUUGUUCGGAAUUAUUGGGCGUAAAGCGCGUGUAGGCGGUUCGUUAAGUCUGAUGUGAAAACCCAGAGCUCAACUCUGGGACUGCAUUCAAAACUGCUAGAAUUGAGGAUGGACGGAGAAAGCGGAAUUCCACGUGUAGCGGUGAAAUGCGUAGAUAUGUGGAAGAACACCGGUGGCGAAGGCGGCUUUCUAGUUUAUUCCUGACGCUGAGGUACGAAAGCAAGGGGAGCAAACAGGAUUAGAUA
rnacentral:rRNA from 1 species